UAUAGCUCCCAAUAGGGAGAACGGAGUCCUGCCUCAUCCUUACCCACUACACUAUGAAUAAUUCCCCCAGAUCAUUUAUUUCUGAGGAAUAAACUAACCCCCUUAACUAACCACUUAACCACAGCCCAGGAGAUGCGAUGCAUUUCCCUGGAAGCCACUCAGAUGUUUGCAAGGCUCCGAUGACAACCCAGGUGUUGGCUUUCCUCCCCUAGGACUCCACAGGGUCUCCUGGAGUGCCGAGCUAGGCACUCUUCAGCCUGCCCUUGUUUGCCUCUCUCUCCUGUCCCUGUCCCAUUGCAGCCACCAACGACCAUUUCUAAGCAGCUGGGGAGUGGAAACAUAGUCACAGCUACAGAGACCAAACCCUUUGCAUAGCCCUGUCGUGCAAAUAGAGACCAACUGAUUUUCCAGUAUAUCAGUAAGGGAACGAAAGAAACCAUUAGUAGUGAGGGCAUCGUUUCAGUUGGAGAAAUAAAUUAUCUGGGGCAAUUAUUCAUAGACACUAGCUUGGGGACGAGGAGCCCCGCUGGCCCUUGUAAAACACCAGGGGAAACCCUGUCAGACAAGGUUGGGUACCCCCAAGGUGGAAAAUAAGAGGUGAGGGAUGUCUCCUCUGCUUGGAAGUCUCAGCUCCCAGCCCGGGGGCUCGGUCCAAAGGGACGAGGGAGCCCUGGCUGAAGCUCUGGGUCCCUUUCACGAAGAGAGAGAGGGGGGAGUAGUUAAUAAGCCACAAAUGACUCACAAAUAACAGGAAAGCUGUUUGCAAAUCUUCACAUGUAAAUGCCUGGCAGCCACCCCCACCCCUGCUCAGAGAGCAGCGAGCGAGAGCUCACUCUGGGCACCUUUCUAAAUUCUCAGCUAGUCCUGCCAGUCUGUGUCUUUGGGGUGGCUUUGGACGUGAGCUGGCCUGUAGGAGAUGGCAUUUUGGGGACAGCCGCAAAGACAAGGAGCGGCCGGCUACUCACACAGCGCCGCAGCCGCAGCCUCAGCGUUUUCAGCUUCUCCCCCAGGGAGUUCACGUGCUCUUUGAUGUCCGGGCCGUGGUUCUCAGCCUGCGGCAUCACCUCCUCCAGGUAGAACUGGAUCAUCUCAGACAAGGCUUGGCAACCCAGAGAGAAGAAGAAUCUCAGAGCUAUCUGGUGGCAGAGCUAUGAAUAGAUCAGGCGACAGCCCUCCUGGCAGCCAGUCCUUGCUCAGAGAAACCAGAACCUUCUGUGUCUGGUUGUGCCAAACUGAAGUUGAAGGAGGAAGCAGAACAUACCUGGUAUAGGCCACGGAGACAGAGAAGUGCUUGCAAAGCCCGACGUGAUUCCAAGAAGAUGUGCAGAGGAAGCCUGCGGAGCUGUGUGUUCCGCGCCAUCCACAUGCGUGUGUGCAAACACCCCUGGGCUCUGUCCCCUGGGGUGAGUCGCUUCCGUUCUGGGGACUUCGGAUGUAGGACCGUUCCCUGGGACCAGAGAUGCCUGGUUGAUUUCAAGGGUCUGGAAGACUGCCAGGACUGCCGUUGCCUGAGUCGGGAGGUCCCUCACUGCUAGGCUGCUGGCCAGCUCGAGGGGGAAUGGAGGGGUCUUCAGAUUGGAGAAAUCGAAGGUGAGAGGCGGAGUGUAGGGUGGAAAGGAAGACCAAUAAACCCUGCCCUCACGCCCUUUCCCCAUCAGCUCCCACCCUGGUCACGCCCAUUUCUUCACACCUGCUCAGUCUUCCCCAAGGUUGUUAGCUGCAAUGAUAAAAUCAGCUACCUGAAGCGGAAAGGGGGUCGUAUUGUAAGGAGCCCAGGGUAUCUCAAAAUAUCCACGAACAGAAGCUGCUGCAGGACACAUGCCUGGUUACUUUCCGACUUUUCUUGAUGUCCUUGCAUCCUGCUUUCUCCCUGGACCAGCUCUCUCUGCACUUCUGGGCAGCUUGCAGGAGACCACAGCUACCCAGCUCUCAAGGCUACUGUCUUUAAUUCCAGGGGCCAGCCGAGGCUGACCCGUGCUCUGAAGUCCCAAGUCCAAAUUCCUGGGAGACGGACUAACAGCUCAGCUUAGGUCAGGUGUCCACCCUGCAAUCAGGGGACCAGGGUCAGGUGGCUUCGAGAGUCAAGGUGGGAACACAUCAUAAAUGGUGCCCCAGGUCAAAUGGUGCGUCCUCCACGAAGACCCUCUGACCGAUCGAUGCUAUGGAAGAAGUCCCCUUCCUCCUGAGUCCCCUGUCUCUGUCCCUCUUCUUGGCAUGCAUUACUUUCUACCUUGUGUUAGUAUUGUCUUUGUAAACAUCUUAUCCCUUCUCCCACCUACCUAUAAGCUGGUUUAUUUAUCUUCACUUAUCUCACAGCUUGUGCAAAGAAAAAAAAAAUUGGACAUGUACU